UACGUAGGGUGCGAGCGUUGUCCGGAAUUAUUGGGCGUAAAGGGCUCGUAGGCGGUUUGUCGCGUCGGGAGUGAAAACCAGGUGCUUAACACCUGGCUUGCUUUCGAUACGGGCGGACUCGAGUUCGGCAGGGGAGACUGGAAUUCCUGGUGUAGCGGUGAAAUGCGCAGAUAUCAGGAGGAACACCGGUGGCGAAGGCGGGUCUCUGGGCCGAUACUGACGCUGAGGAGCGAAAGCGUGGGGAGCGAACAGG
rnacentral:rRNA from 1 species